rnacentral:rRNA from 1 species
ACGGGAGGCAGCAGUGAGGAAUAUUGGUCAAUGGGCGGAAGCCUGAACCAGCCAUGCCGCGUGAAGGAAUAAGGCCCUACGGGUCGUAAACUUCUUUUGUGGUGGAGCAAUAAGGUGCACGUGUGCAUCGAUGAGAGUACAUCACGAAUAAGCAUCGGCUAACUCCGUGCCAGCAGCCGCGGUAAUACGGAGGAUGCAAGCGUUAUCCGGAUUUAUUGGGUUUAAAGGGUGCGUAGGCUGUUCUUCAAGUCAGAGGUGAAAUACCCGAGCCUAACUCGGGAACUGCCUUUGAUACUGGAGGGCUUGAAUACUGUUGCCGUGGGAGGAAUGAGUAGUGUAGCGGUGAAAUGCAUAGAUAUUACUCAGAACACCGAUUGCGAAGGCAUCUCACGAAUCCGUCAUUGACGCUGAGGCACGAAAGCGUGGGGAUCAAACAGGAUUAGAUACCCUGGUA